rnacentral:tRNA from 1 species
CUUUAGCUCAAUUGGAUAGAGCGACAGCCUCCUAAGCUGUAGGUUGCGAGUUCGAUUCCCGCAUG